CUUACCCGCAUGGCCCGGGGGUACAGCAGGGCUGUCCCAGAGCUGAUGUGGAUGCUCUCCUGCUAGAGAAGACGCUGUGCCACACGCAGGCGCUGCCUGGUGCCUGGGUCGUGGGGCAGUCAGCUGGAGGUUGCCGGAACAACAGCUGCUUUCCCUGCAACCCCAAGUACUGGCUGAGGCUCUCGGAACCCAGCGAGCUGUGUGUGGCUGUUCUGCAGAGACCCAGGAAGCACCCAGCAGGCAGGGCCCGGGCUCUGGUGGGCUGUGGCCCUGCCCCAUCAAGCCUCCUGGGCAAGGAUCACCAGGUCAAGGACUACCAGGCCGUGGGCCUGCACAUCUGGAAGGUAACUGUCACCCCGCCCACCCCCGCAGUGGCUGUGGGGACCAGGCCUGCUUUUGGCACUCUGCCAGGGGCCCUGUCUCUCACCUCCUUGGGCUGCCAUGGACCCAGCUGAGCUGAGGCCCUGUGCCUCACUGGCCAGAGAAGAACAGGGCAACAGCCAGAGGGGGGCCACAGGAGCUGCCCACGGGCCCUGCUCUCGGCCGUGCUCUCCAGCACAGUGAGCGGAACCACUCAGGAGAGGAGCUGCUUCCGUCCUGCAGACGACCCUCUGACUCCUCCCUGGCUCCUUCCCCUGCUUUGUGGGGAUCGUGAUGCUGAUCUUUGACCUCUUGGGACUGUUCUGAGGCUUUUGUCACACUCAGCCACUAGAUCCUAAACUGGCUGUUUCCUGGAAGACUGGCUGGGCUGGGCGCUGCUGCCCGUCUGCCUGCCCAGUGGCUGUGUCCUCAUGGGCUGGGAGCUGACACUGCCCUUUGUGGGCAGACCUGCAUUAUGGUUCUUUCCUCUUACGAAGGAGGGGCUGAGCCCUUUCCCAUAGUCCCCCAGCUAUGCUGGCCAGGGGCCUUUGGGGGCACAGCCCUGUGUAGAUUUGUUUGUUUUCUUCUUGACCCUGGUGACAGGGCUCUGGGAAGCCUUGGGUCUGGCUUUUCCAGUUGGCCCUUGAGAGGAUGAGGGUGCGGAUGGACUUUGACCUGCUAGCUUGAGAGGCCUUCCUGCUGAGCAGGGAGCAGAGAGCUGGGUGCUGGGCGCUCUCCCACUGACCUCUGCCUGCCCUCUGCAGGUGGAGAAACGGCGGGUCAGCCUGCCCAGAAUCCUGUCCACACCGCCUGUGGCUGGCACUGUGUGUCAUGCAUAUGACCGAGAGGUCCAUCUACACUGUGAGCUCCCCCCUGGCUACUACCUGGCUGUCCCCAGCACCUUCCUGAAGGACAUGCCAGGGCAGUUCCUGCUCCGAGUUUUCUCCACAGGCAAAGUCUCCCUCAGGUGAGGAGCCAGUGGCAGCUGUGAGCAAGGGUUCAUCCGGGGAUGGGACUCUGGUGGCUGCCCUGGUUGGGCACAGUCCUCAGACAGGCUGCUAGCACCCUCCUCCGCUCGUCCCUCCACAGUGCUGUCAGGCCAGCAGCCAAGGGCGCCUCCCCUGGGGCAGCCCUGCCCUCCGGCGAGUGGGAGACCCUGCAGCUGCGGGGCUGCUGGAGAGCAGGCCGGACAGCAGGGGGCAGCAGGAACUUCGCCUCCUACCUCUGCAACCCCUGCCUCCCUUUCUCGGUCCCCGAGGGCUCCAGUCCCCGAUGCAUCCGAAUCACCCUGCACCAGCACUGCCCGCUCAGUGACAGCCAGCUGCAUCCCAUUGGCUUUCAUGUCUUCCAGGUGGGCUCCUCAGCAAGGGACAGGUACGGGGAGGCCCAGGCAACCCAUGUCUGUCCCAUGUUGUCCCAGUAAUCAGCUGCCUGGGAGGCAGAGCCUGGGCUCAGUUGGGCACAUCAGCCCAGCUGGCUGGUCUCAUGGGAGGCUGGUCUCUAGGUUUCUAAGGCUGUAUUUGCUGGGGUCAGCUCAGAUGGCCCUUGGCCACUCACCCUGGCUCGGAACAUCUGUGUCCUGAGGUCAAUUCUCCCCAGAGCAUGCCCCCUACCCCAGGAUCCUGGACCCUGGAGGCUGCUCAGGGGAUUCUGGGCAGACACCCAGCCUCACCAUGGAUCUGGCCCCAGCCAGCAAUUUCAGAGAAGCCCUACCCACUGGUGCAACAGGGAGUGAACACACCCAGGAGCCACCCAGGUCAUACCACCUGCCCCUCCCAUGUCACUGAGCGCCCUGGGUGGGACUGGCAAGAGCUGCACCCCAGUGGGGGGCAGUGGAAGUCAGAGCAGCGAUGGCCUGGUCUGGAAGAAGGGGUGUGUGGGGCCAGAGGAGCAGACAGUGGGGUGAGCUGCUCCCGCAACCAGCAGGCAGAGGAGAGGUGGGGGUGCCCUCAGGGAGGCCAGCAGCCCGAGGGUGCCCCUGGAGCUACCGGAGCCUGCAGCUGGGGUCAGCCCUGCACAGGUGAGUCGGGAAGGAGGCAGCCGGGCAAAGUGAUAGUCGCCCCAGUGUCAUUCCAGAGGGCGGCGCAUCAGUCCAGGUCAGCCCUGGGAGGGGUAGGGUCAGGAAGCAGAGGUCAUGCCAAGGGACCUCGCCAUGGGCCAUUCUGGUGACACUGCUGCUCAUGCUUAGCCAUUCCUGCAGGUGGAGGUGGCUCAGGCUCCUGCCAGGGAAGGGCUGAUCAGACCUCACCCGGUGCCUUCCUCAGCCCGGCUCUGUCCUGCCCCUGCUAUAGCCAGCCAGGGGAGGCACACUUAGCAGAUCUGGAGGGGGAGGGAGAGUUCAUGUCUCAGGGUCACAGGCCCUGAGUUCUGUGGGGACAGUUCUGGGGCUCCCAGCCCACACGGAGCUGUGCUUGUCCUGGGAGGACAAUGGCUGAGGAUGUCCUGGGCUAUAGCUGGUGGGAACACAUGGCCUGGCAAGCAGUGACCAAGAGAAGAGAGCGGGAUUUCUGGUAAGAGGGUCGGUGCCUCCCCCGGAGGAGCCACUGAGCCCAGAGAGCUGAGGAAGACACUGGGACCUUGCCCGGUGCUGCGUGCUGUGUGGGCCACCAGGAAGGAGCUCAGACCAAAAUGCCAGUGCCCAGGGGCUGCUGGCCAGAGCACUCUGGGUUGGGGUCUGGGCAGUGGUACGUGCCGACCACAGAGCUGAUCUGAGGUUCUUGGGCUUGGUGCCACUGCCAGGGCCUUCUGGCAAGGGUGGUCCAACUUCAGUGGGAGGGAGGUUCAGUGUGUGGGCCUGGCACUUGCUCCCCAGAAAAGGGGUGCAUGUGAUUCAGGAGGGCCAGGCAUCAGCAUCUUGGGAUCCAGCAGACUCCAGCUGCUGCUGCCUGGGCAGUGCCCCCAUCCAUACAGCCGCCUCAGGCUGAGCCCUGCACCCUCCAGGUCCCUGCAGGUGGCGAGAGGCAGGGUGCAGGCCCCCUGCUGCUCCAGGAGCCACUGCUGAGCUGUGUGCCACAUCGCUAUGCCCAGGAGGUGAGCCGGCUCUGCCUGCUGUCUGCGGGCACCUACAGGGUCGUGCCCUCCACCUACUGGCCUGACACCGAGGGCUCCUUCAUGGUGACCAUAGCAACCAGAGUGGACAGGUGCGGCUCUGGGCCUUGGGAUGACCAGCAGGUGUUCUUGGCCCUGAGCACUCAGCAGCCUUCCCCGUCUGGUUCUCUGCUGACCCAAGGCAUGAAUGGGCCUGCUUGCCUGGCUGAGCUGGGAGGAGGGUCUGGUGAGAGGCCAGCCGGGAGCAGGUGGCCCCCGGUGAGCUGCCCUCUCUCCACAGG
rnacentral:lncRNA from 1 species